rnacentral:rRNA from 1 species
CCUACGCGGGGCAGCAGUGAGGAAUAUUGGUCAAUGGGCGCGAGCCUGAACCAGCCAAGUAGCAUGAAGGAUGACUGCCCUACGGGUUAUAAACCUCUUUUGUCGGGGAGCAAAAGCCGGACGUGUCCGGCUGUGAGAGUACCCGAAGAAAAAGCAUCGGCUAACUCCGUGCCAGCAGCCGCGGUAAUACGUAGGAUGCGAGCGUUAUCCGGAUUUAUUGGGUUUAAAGGGUGCGCAGGCGGAUUUUUAAGUCAGCGGUAAAAUCGUGGGGCUCAACCCCAUCCAGCCGUUGAAACUGGGGAUCUAGAGUGUGCGAGAGGUAUGCGGAAUGCGUGGUGUAGCGGUGAAAUGCAUAGAGAUCACGCAGAACCGCGAUUGCGAAGGCAGCAUACCGGUGCACAACUGACGCUCAGGCACGAAAGCGUGGGUAUCGAACAGGAUUAGAUACCCCAGUAGUC